CCCUGCCUCAGUCUCCCAAGUAGUUGGGACCAAAGGUAUUCACAUGACCGGAUUCACAUCUCUCAGAUUUAGUUAACACACUUCAACAGUGCGACUAAAAGGAACCACACCCAGAGCUUGCAAGCCAGUGCCCUGCUCAUCCCUGCACCAGGGUGGAGGAAUAGUCACCAAAGGUGGGGAUUGUCUUCAGGAUCCAGUCAACCAGAAGGUCCAUCUCCCCAGCCUUGUAGAAGUCAAGACCACUUGCCUGCUUGCAACUGGGGUAUUGCAUUGGUUUUCUAUGGCUUCUGUAACAAAUUACCACAAACUUGGUGGCUUAAAACAACUGAAAUUAAUUCCCGCACAGUUCUGGAGGCUAGAAUUCUGAAGCGGUUCCACUGGGCUAAAAUCAGUGCUUUCACAGAACCACACUUCCCCCUGGAAGCCAUUCUCCUCACAGUCUCUAAGGGAGAAUCUGUUCCUUCCCUCUUCCAGCUUCUGGUGGCUGCCCACGUUUUUGGCUUGUGACUGCAUCACUCCAAUCUCUGUGACCACAGGCCUUCUCUUGUGUCAUCACAUUGCCUUUUGCUUCCCUAUUAUAAGGACACACCUGACUAUAUCUGGAGUUCAUCCAGAUAAUCCAAGAUAAUCUCCCCAUCUCAUGAUUCUUAACCGUAUCUUCAGAAUCCUUUUUAACAUAUAAGAGAGCAUAUUUUGGAGUACCUGGCAUUCUAUGUCAUGAGAGAAUGAACCAGAAUGGGGCAUAUGCUUCUAUCCUGAAGAUGAGACUGCAGAACUGACUAUAUACACAGUCCUGUGUCACCUAAAGACAGGGACACAUUCUGAGAAAUGCAUCAUGAGGCAGUUUCAUCAUUGUGCGAAUAUCAUGGAGUGUCCUUACACAAAGCUAGACGGUAUAUGCCUACUACAUACCUAGGCUCUAUGGUGUAGCCUAUUGCUCCUAGGUUAUAAACCUGUACAGCAUGUUACUGUACUCAGUACUGUGAGCAAUUAUGACACAAUGAAAGGAACGUAGCCCUGCUCAUACCUUGAUUUUAGCACACUGAGACCUGUGUUAGACUUCAGACCUGUGGAACUGUAAGACAAUGCAUUUGUAUCAUUUUAAGCCACUGUGUUUUUGGCACGGUCUUCCCAUUUCCCAGAUGAAGAAACUGAAGCAAAAAGAUACAUCACUGGCUUAUCUGAUUAGACAUGGCAGAGUGAGGCAUCUGCCCCAGGCAAAUCCAGAUUCUAUGUCCAACUCCAGAGACGAGCUCCAGGAAAUAUAAGCACUUUCCCAGACUCUUUUGCAGCAAGAGGAAGUCAUAUAAUACUGCUAAUGAGAUUUAACUGGAAGUCUACUGGGGGCUCAUCAAGGCAUAUUCUUGCCUUCAACAUGGAUUUGUGACUGCAGUCAUCUUAAGGCAUAAGGGGAAGGCUGAGAGAAUUUUAGAGAUAUCACCCCUGACAUAUGCUGAGCCAUAGAACAAACAUCAACACCUGCUUUCUUCUGAACAUCCAGCUAGAUAAGGAAAAGAUACCUAUAUGUUUGUUUAUAUCACCGCCUUUGAGUUUUCUGCUGCUUGCAAUUAAAAUUAUUCCUCAUU